rnacentral:rRNA from 1 species
CGAGUGGCGGACGGGUGAGUAACACGUGGGAAUCUGCCCUUAGGUACGGAAUAACUCAGGGAAACUUGAGCUAAUACCGUAUGAUGUCUUCGGACCAAAGAUUUAUCGCCUAAGGAUGAGCCCGCGUCGGAUUAGCUAGUUGGUGAGGUAAAAGCUCACCAAGGCGACGAUCUUUAGCUGGUCUGAGAGGAUGAUCAGCCACACUGGAACUGAGACACGGCCCAGACUCC